AGCGAAGUAAAGAUUAGCACUCUUUACACAUAGCCGCCAUAGUUUUAAUGGAUGUAGCCGGAAUACAGGAUGACCGCUCCGUAAGCCAUUAUGUAAAUCUCACAG
rnacentral:ncRNA from 1 species